ACUGGGCUGGCGUGGCAAAUUGGAACCAUUCGCUGGCAACUUCCAGCCAAUGAGAGCUGGCCGGGAGGUGACACCUCUCGGGGAGCGGGAGCCGGCCCGUCGCUCCAAAGCCGGGGAGCGAGGGGCGCGGAGGACGGGCGGCCUGUCUCCCGGGGUCAGGCCGGACAGCCGGACGCGGGUCGCCGCCCUUCCCUUCCCCUCCCCCUGUUUCCUCAGCCCGACCGGGACGGACCCGGCCACGGUGACGGGAGAGGGCUCGGCGCAGGGGGAGGAACCCUCCCAAGGACUCCUGGGCAGCUCGCCAAGCUGGAUGUGACGGACCAAUUACAAGCUAUUGGAAGAGCACCUUGCUACUCACCUGUGCCUGGCAGCAGUGGCUUGGGAGAGACUGGAGGAUAGAGACUGAAGUUUACUGCACAGAAGGAGGCAAUGCAGAACUCCACUAGCCAGGUGGCCUGCUUCCAAGGACUGCCCAGUUUUUCAGGGCUACCAGGAUGAAGGGGCAGGAUGAGAAAGGCCUCAAAUGCAGCCAGGUAUGGCGAUCCCAUGAAAUGGAGGACUAACUGGCUCAACUAUACCAGAUGACCUUAGUACUUCAGCUCCAAUUUUAAAAAUAUGAGCACACACUGGACUCUAUUAGAAAGCAGUUAAUAGUGCCUAUUUCCUUAGAUUAUUUCAGCAGGUGGGUGAGAGGCUGGGAAGCUUAGCCUCUCACCCACCUGCUAAAAUAGUCCAAGCAACACAGUGCUGGUAGUCUAGGCAACCUGCCCUUAUUUCCACAGAAUCAUGUCUGUGACCCAAUUCAUUCAUUUUCUUUAAUACUAAAAAAAAAAAAAGUGUCUAAGAAGCAGUGUGGC